rnacentral:rRNA from 1 species
UCCCCCUUUUAAUCAGUGAAACUGAUCUCCCCGUGAAGAAGCGGGGAUAACUAUAUAAGACGAGAAGACCCCAUGGAGCUUUAAACCCAGCAACACCUAUCUUUAUACACCCUUAUAUUCACGUAACUCUACUUGCUCGGUUUUAGGUUGGGGUGACCGCGGAGCACAACAAAACCUCCACGAAAAAAGGACCAACAAUCCUUAUCCAAGAUGCACAUAUCUAAGAAUUAAUAUAUUAACUUUUAAUGAUCCGUUAUUCGAUCAACGAACCAAGUUACCCUGGGGAUAACAGCGCAAUCUACCUCGAGAGCUCCUAUCGACAGGUAGGUUUACGACCUCGAUGUUGGAUCAGGGUAUCCCAGUGGUGCAGCAGCUACUAAAGGUUCGUUUGUUCAACGAUUAAAACCCU